rnacentral:rRNA from 1 species
AGUGAACGCUGGCGGUAGGCCUAACACAUGCAAGUCGAACGGCAGCACAGUAAGAGCUUGCUCUUACGGGUGGCGAGUGGCGGACGUGUGAGGAAUACAUCGGAAUCUACUUUUUCGUGGGGGAUAACGUAGGGAAACUUACGCUAAUACCGCAUACGACCUACGGGUGAAAGCAGGGGAUCUUCGGACCUUGCGCGAUUGAAUGAGCCGAUGUCGGAUUAGCUAGUUGGCGGGGUAACGGCCCACCAAGGCGACGAUCCGUAGCUGGUCUGAGAGGAUGAUAACAGACACAGUAAAAGUGACACACGCCCAGACACUAAGGGAGGGCAGAGUGGGGGAUAUUGGACAAUGGGGCGCAGGCCUGAUCAACCCUAACGGGGGGGGUAAAGAAGCCCUCCGGUUUGUAAAGCCUUUUUGUGGGAAAAAAAAGCAAGCGGUUUAAAACCCGCCGUUUCGACGGUAACCAAAGAAAAAGCCACGGCUAACCUCGUG